UGAAUCCAUAGGUUAAUGAGGCGAACCGGGGGAACUGAAACAUCUAAGUACCCCGAGGAAAAGAAAUCAACCGAGAUUCCCCCAGUAGCGGCGAGCGAACGGGGAGGAGCCCAGAGCCUGAAUCAGCAUGUGUGUUAGUGGAAGCGUCUGGAAAGGCGCGCGAUACAGGGUGACAGCCCCGUACACAAAAGCGCAUGUGCUGUGAGCUCGAUGAGUAGGGCGGGACACGUGGUAUCCUGUCUGAAUAUGGGGGGACCAUCCUCCAAGGCUAAAUACUCCUGACUGACCGAUAGUGAACCAGUACCGUGAGGGAAAGGCGAAAAGAACCCCGGCGAGGGGAGUGAAAAAGAACCUGAAACCGU
rnacentral:rRNA from 6 species